CAACCGAUUGGUGGAUUGUUGCUCGUAGACAGUAUAAAAGACCAUCAUCUCCAGUCGACUGUUAUCUGCAUUAUCAAAAUGGGAAAGGUUAUCGUUGCUUUGCUUCUUCUUGCUUGCUUGGUAGCCAUCUCCUCGGCCAACUGGAGUGGCAACCAUUGCAGCUAUCGGCCUUGCAACCCAUGGUUUCCAUUUCCAUACCAGUGUGGCUAUUUUGAACAAUGCACCCAAUAUGGAUACUGUUGUAGCUACUACAGAGGAGGUUAUGGCUAUCGCUAAUAUUGACAAUACUAAGUCGACGAAAAUCAGACAUCUGAAAAAUGUCAACAUGCAGGCUGUACUGCUGACAAUGAAUCAUCAUACUCAUAUUCCUAGCAGCUCAAAUAAAAGAUGUCAAAUUACUCUUGGAUAAAGAAAUCUUCAGUU